rnacentral:rRNA from 1 species
AACCUGCGGAAGGAUCAUUACCGAGUUGACUCGAGCUCCGGCUCGACUCUCCCACCCUAUGUGUACCUACCUCUGUUGCUUUGGCGGGCCGCGGUCCUCCGCACCGGCUCCCUUUGGGGGCUGGCCAGCGUCCGCCAGAGGACCACAAAACUCCAGUCAGUAAACGUUGCAGUCUGAAAAACAAGUUAAUAAACUAAAACUUUCAACAACGGAUCUCUUGGUUCUGGCAUCGAUGAAGAACGCAGCGAAAUGCGAUAAGUAAUGUGAAUUGCAGAAUUCAGUGAAUCAUCGAAUCUUUGAACGCACAUUGCGCCCCUUGGUAUUCCGAGGGGCAUGCCUGUUCGAGCGUCAUUUCAACCCUCAAGCUUUGCUUGGUAUUGGGCCCCGUCCUCUGUGGACGCGCCUCAAAGACCUCGGCGGUGGCGUCUUGCCUCAAGCGUAGUAGAAAUCACCUCGCUUUGGAGCGCAUGGCGUCGCCCGCCGGACGAACCUUUGAAUUUUUCUCAAGGUUGACCUCGGAUCAGGUAGGGAUACCCGCUGAACUUAAGCAUAUCAAUAAGCGGAGGAAAGGAUCAUUACCGAGUUGACUCGAGCUCCGGCUCGACUCUCCACUAUGUGUACCUACUCUGUUGCUUUGGCGGG